CUAAGGUAGCGAAAUUCCUUGUCGGGUAAGUUCCGACCUGCACGAAUGGCGUAACGACUUCCCCACUGUCUCCAGGAUAUGCUCAGCGAAAUUGAAUUCUCCGUGAAGAUGCGGAGUACCCGCGGUUAGACGGAAAGACCCCGUGCACCUUUACUGCAGCUUCAGAGUGGCAUUAGGAAAGAAUUGUGUAGAAUAGGUGGGAGGCUUUGAAACUUGGGCGCCAGUCCGAGUGGAGCCAUAAUGUGAAAUACCACCCUAUUGUUUUCUGGUGUCUAACUUAGAUCCGUUAUCCGGAUCAGGGACCCUCUGUGGCGGGUAGUUUGACUGGGGCGGUCGCCUCCUAAAGAG
rnacentral:rRNA from 1 species